rnacentral:tRNA from 1 species
GGAGAGGUGGCAGAGUGGUCGAAUGCGGUCGCCUCGAAAGCGAUUAUUCCGGGAAACCGGGAUCGAGGGUUCGAAUCCCUCCCUCUCCGCCA